UGCAGUCGAACGAGAUCCUUCGGGGUCUAGUGGCGCACGGGUGCGUAACGCGUGGGAAUCUGCCUUUCGGUACGGAAUAACUCAGGGAAACUUGUGCUAAUACCGUAUGACGUCGCGAGACCAAAGAUUUAUCGCCGAAAGAUGAGCCCGCGUAGGAUUAGCUAGUUGGUGGGGUAAAGGCCUACCAAGGCGACGAUCCUUAGCUGGUCUGAGAGGAUGAUCAGCCACACUGGGACUGAGACACGGCCCAGACUCCUACGGGAGGCAGCAGUGGGGAAUAUUGGACAAUGGGCGAAAGCCUGAUCCAGCAAUGCCGCGUGAGUGAUGAAGGCCUUAGGGUUGUAAAGCUCUUUUACCCGGGAUGAUAAUGACAGUACCGGGAGAAUAAGCCCCGGCUAACUCCGUGCCAGCAGCCGCGGUAAUACGGAGGGGGCUAGCGUUGUUCGGAAUUACUGGGCGUAAAGCGUACGUAGGCGGUGACUCAAGUCAGAGGUGAAAGCCCGGGGCUCAACUCCGGAAUUGCCUUUGAAACUAGGUCGCUUGAACGUCGGAGAGGUGAGUGGAAUUCCGAGUGUAGAGGUGAAAUUCUUAGAUAUUCGGAAGAACACCAGUGGCGAAGGCGGCUCACUGGACGACUGUUGACGCUG
rnacentral:rRNA from 1 species